CUGAAGCUGCCAGAGAGCAGUGGGACAUUUUAUGGCUUCUUUUUCCUUCAGGUCAGCCUGACCUCAGCUUCAGAGUUGAUCGCCCCCAGGAGAGAGAAAGUGCCCCUCCUUCCCACCGGGGCCACUGAUGAGCAUCUGUUGCUAUCAGAUGCAGAUGGUGAGGACGUCGUUGCAGAGACCAGCACCAUCGACAGACCAGAGGAAGCAGGCAGGACACACUCCAGCAGCUCCAGUGGGAGCCGGAAACACCAGAAGGAAACGGAGCUGGGGUACGU